rnacentral:hammerhead_ribozyme from 1 species
AUAAAUCUGACGAGUCCGGCACAGGACGAAACGCGCGUCUUGAAU